rnacentral:lncRNA from 1 species
GUACUCACCUCCCACCCGGUACAUGUUAGCCGCCAUGGCCGUUCCCGCCGCCGCCUCCGGCCACACAAAGAGGUCCCGGAGGCUCGCGGGGGCAAAGCUCAGCUCCAGACGAAGCCCCCAGCGCGUGGCUGACGCUUCGCGGAAGUGUCGAUGGGGCCCGAGCAGCCGGCACCUCUGCUCGCUCAGCCGCCGCGGCUCAUCACUGCCCGCGCGACGACGACACUGCUAUAGCCUCACGCCGGGACACCGAGGCCAGCUCCGGUCUACUCGGCUUCUUCCGGAACGAGCUCGAUUCCUGCCUGACCGGAGUGAGGUUCCAGCUCCUAGCGUCCUCACCGAGUCCCAGCAGACGUCGUGCGGUGCCAACCGCUGGCAAGGUUUGCCCUGCCCGCGUCCGGGUUCGCCUCCUUCCGGAACACCUUCGGCCGAUCCGGAGAACAAGGCCCAGCGCUCGGCUCAGGUCGGAGAGCAAGACCCCGCAGAUCGGCCACUUCCGGAAGGAACUCGGCUCCUUUCGCUCAGCCGCGGCCUCGCGCUCGGUUAUUUCCGUUGCAGCUCGACCCCGCCCCUGAGGGCGGUGAGGAGCCGGAAUUAACUCUUUGCACUAUGGGUCCUAGCAGCUCCCCGGCAGUGGCGUCGAAAGGCGCGCGCGCGCCCUCACUCUUCUUGAGGUUAUUUGCAAGCCGCUUUGCCUGUUAUUUGCAUAUUUGGUCUGAACUCCCUUUUCUCUUCCCGCCCUGCACUUUUUUCUUUCAUCCUAACACAACUGGGCCCCUGAGGGGACCCGCCGCACAAAAGCACCAGGCAGUUACUUUUUUCUUUUUAUUGCCCCUCACCGAGCAGAGGGUGUCGGAGCUGGGUUGCCUGGCUCAGCCAGCAAGUCUGUUGUUAUUUUGUGUGCAGUGGGGUGGUUAGCCCCUCCAGAAAAAUGCGCAAUUGGGAAUGUAUGAAGUCAAAGAAAAAGCCAGCACAGGAAAAGACUGUCCUUGGUCCUAGGGGUUUUGGCCAGGGUGGGGCCAGACCACAGUACCAGAGGGACAAGACCAUCCAGCAUCAAUCACACGUCCAGGGAGGAGGCAGGGGACAGAGAGGGCGUUCUAGAUGGUGUGGCAGGAGCGGGCCCAGAGCUCCCUGCCCCCAGCACUCGCCACUGAAAGAUGCUAGCAUCCUUGCCACCUAAGGAGACAAGGUAUGAGUCGUCGUGCGUGAACCGGACACUAGUCACAUGGCUGCCAUGGCCUGAGUACAUACGACUUGGCGCCUAGAUGAGAGAAAAAAAAAAAAAAAACAACUGGUUGCAGCAAUGGCAGGGUACCAAACCUACCCACCUGGGCCCAAUGGUCCCCUGAAGCCUCACCUUGGCUCGAGCACAUGGGUACUGAAAGAGGUGUACUUUGCAGAAGUCGUCUGCCACAGCCACCACCCGUUCAUUGUGGGAGCGGCAAAGGGAGUUGAUGUCUGUCCCAUCAGAGCCAUCAGGCCACACACCUAACACAACAGGUGGCCUGAGUCAGGCUGCUACCACAACCUAGAGUUGCAGUGUUUCAGGUCUUCAGGUUGCCACUGCGCUCCAGACAAUCCCAAGGGGCCUCCUAGCCUGGAUUUGCCACUAUGACCCCCACCCCGAGGUGGCACACGCCCAGGAUUCUGAGGGCAGAAUGGGUUCUUCCUUGUUUCCCCAGCCCUCCUAACGGAUUCCAGAUCCUGGCUCACCAUAGACGUGGAAGCCCAGCACACAGGAGGUCUGGCAUUCUCUCACCUCCCUGUGUUCAGUCCUACAACCACAACUGCCCCACUUGGGUGGAAGUCAGCACAUAAACCCGUCUCCUGGGAAGAAAAAAAGACCCCAGCGCAUCUCUCACCUCUGCCUCCUGGAGGGCCACCAACCCGGGCCCCCACUGCACCAGUCGUCGGUCCCGCCCACCACCACUCAGCACUGUCCCAUCCCGGCGGAGACACAGGGCAAAGAUGGACCCCUCGUGAGCAUGGGCCUGGGCCACGAUCGUGUAGGUCUCUGUUGGUAAAGGCUAGAAUUUCUGAGAUACAAACAUCCUAAAUGCUAGCCCUAACCACAUACCUUUGGCCCCACCCCUGCCUGGGGUCUUGGAAUCUGAGACACUUCGACCCCAGGUAAGAAUGUUCCCCUCGGAAUCUCCAGUGAGGAUGUCUCCAUCAGGAAGGAAGACAAAGCAAGGGAUGAACUUGGGUUUCUUGUAUUUCUGGAGAGGGCAGAGGACAGGUGUCACAGGACAGAUGUGGAUGCUGGGGCACAUUAGAAUCAACACAUGUCACAGGAUAGCUGGGGUGCUGGGGUGCAUUAGAGUCUACAGCACUUAGCCCCACUUCCCUCUCCACUGCCUCACCCAUCCACACCUCACCCCAAAAACACCCUGCUUCCGGGCGAGGAGCCCAUUCCCGGGAGCCCCUGUCCCACCGCUCCAGUUCCAAAAGUGGACAUGCGAUUUCCCACUGGUGACAAUACAGCUGCUGUCACGAGGGCUGAAGCCAACAGCGAGGACUGAGUCAUUUGUACUCUGAAAAAAAGAAGACACUUGAUUCAGCCAAUCUAAGUCCUAAGCCUGCCUUCCUCCCUCCCUCUCUCUCUCUCUCUCUCUCUCUCUCUCUCUCUCUCUCUCUCUCUCUUUUCUUUUGAGACAUGGUUUCUCUGUGUAGUCCUGGCUGUCCUGGAACUCACUUUGUACACCAGGGUGGUCUCAAACUCAGAAAUCCGCCUGCCUCUGCCUCAAGUGCUAGGAUUAAAGAUGUGCACCACCA